AUUCCCAAAAUAAACACAAUCUCAAUCCGAAAUCCCGACUAAUACCCGAGGCUAUCUGUUGACAAACCACAUACACAGACACACAUAAAACCCGCUACGAACGCACUCGUGGCCUCGGAAUUCCCAACGGAGGUCUCGUUGACCGAGUCAACCCCCGAUGCCUCAAUUCCAACUUUCCAACCCAAGUCCCAAAAUGCACCCGAGUGCAUUGGGAACCGAACCAGAUAUGCACACAAGUUCUAAAUGACCAUCCGGACCUCUCGGAAUCGAUGGAUUUCCGAAAAAGGUCCGUUUACCUAAAAGUCAACUUUGAGUCAGCUCUUUUUGCUUAAAGCGAAUUUUUCCCAAAAAGUCACCAAAAUCAACCCCGAGCACCUCGGGAAGCGUGUCAAUUGUCCCCUGGGGUCAAAAGUGAGCUAACCAAGCUCGGGGAAGGGUCAAAAGUGCCGAAAAUACUAUAACGACCAAGCGGGUCGUUACAUAGUUCCACAAAGACGCUUGGGUCCUAAGGUCAAUUUUGUAGCACGUAGUAUGAUUUUCUAGAGGAUUCCAAUUUCUGUUUUCUGCUUGUAGGGAGGUUUUGCAUUGUCAGAGUCCAACAUGGCCAGCGUCAGGUGUACCCUGUAUAGUUAAGUCAGCUUGGUCCAUGGCUCCAUGCUAUAGCAAUGUGAACAUUUAAUGAAAUUUCGGGAACCGGAAGUAGUGUGAAACCAGCUCAGAUAUUGUUCCAAAAACACAAUUACCGUGUGGCAAACUUCUCAAACAAAACAUCCUAGUUUGCACAGUGUACCCUGAUUUUAGCCUGGUUCCAUUCAACUAUUAUUGUUCUUUGACCAAGUGUUACCCUACAUAACAAAACUUACUAUGUUCAGGUCUAUUGUUCCUUUUCUGUGUAAUUCCCAGUAAAACAAACUUAUUUCUAGUCUUAGGUGAAAUGCCAGAUAAUAUUGGCAUGGCACCUGAUAGGCUGAGACAACUAUUACCCGAAUGAGUUUUAGUUUUCAAUUUUUGUGCUGGACCCUAUGGGCCCUUAAAUUUCACAAGAGACUUAUCACAUAAGUUCUUAAUACUAUUUUUACUCUCCUUUAUCCAAAUUUUUUUGAAGCUAUCUUUACUAUCAUCUAGUCAGAUUCUUAUUUUGAACUCAAGAAGCUCAAUCGAUUACAAAACCGUUAGGUUGAGGGGCAACGAAUUUCCUGAGGGAAGGAGAUGGAGAAGGAAACAAACAAAAUCUUCAACUUUGUGUUGCAUUUUUAAUUGACAUAAUACAUAAACAGGCACUCAAACUUGGCCUUAGCUGGCAAGUAAGCACUCCAACUUUGGGAGUGCACAUAUGAACACC